rnacentral:rRNA from 1 species
AUUGAACGCUGGCGGCAUGCUUUACACAUGCAAGUCGAACGGUAACAGGCCGCAAGGUGCUGACGAGUGGCGAACGGGUGAGUAAUGCAUCGGAACGUGCCCAGUCGUGGGGGAUAACUACUCGAAAGAGUAGCUAAUACCGCAUACGAUCUAUGGUUGAAAGCGGGGGACCGUAAGGCCUCGCGCGAUUGGAGCGGCCGAUGUCAGAUUAGGUAGUUGGUGGGGUAAAGGCUCACCAAGCCAACGAUCUGUAGCUGGUCUGAGAGGACGACCAGCCACACUGGGACUGAGACACGGCCCAGACUCCUACGGGAGGCAGCAGUGGGGAAUUUUGGACAAUGGGCGCAAGCCUGAUCCAGCAAUGCCGCGUGCAGGAAGAAGGCCUUCGGGUUGUAAACUGCUUUUGUACGGAACGAAACGGCUCUGGUUAAUACCCGGGGCUAAUGACGGUACCGUAAGAAUAAGCACCGGCUAACUACGUG